rnacentral:rRNA from 1 species
UACGAAGGGGCUAGCGUUGCUCGGAAUCACUGGGCGUAAAGCGCACGUAGGCGGCUUUUUAAGUCAGGGGUGAAAUCCUGGAGCUCAACUCCAGAACUGCCUUUGAUACUGAGAGCUUGAGUCCGGGAGAGGUGAGUGGAACUGCGAGUGUAGAGGUGAAAUUCGUAGAUAUUCGCAAGAACACCAGUGGCGAAGGCGGCUCACUGGCCCGGUACUGACGCUGAGGCACGAAAGCGUGGGGAGCAACAGG